rnacentral:rRNA from 1 species
UCCUACGGGAGGCAGCAGUGGGGAAUAUUGGGCAAUGGGCGCAAGCCUGACCCAGCAACGCCGCGUGAAGGAAGAAGGCUUUCGGGUUGUAAACUUCUUUUCUGAGGGACGAAGAAAGUGACGGUACCUCAGGAAUAAGCCACGGCUAACUACGUGCCAGCAGCCGCGGUAAUACGUAGGUGGCAAGCGUUGUCCGGAUUUACUGGGUGUAAAGGGCGUGCAGCCGGGAAGACAAGUCAGAUGUGAAAUCCCGCGGCUCAACCGCGGAACUGCAUUUGAAACUGUUUUUCUUGAGUACCGGAGAG